AUUGAACGCUGGCGGCAGGCCUAACACAUGCAAGUCGGGCGAGCGGCAGGCGGGUGAGUAAUGUAUGGGGAUCUGCCUGAUGGGGGGGGAUCACUACUGGAAACGGUAGCUAAUACCGCAUACCAUCAGAUGAACCCAUAGGGGAUUAGCUUGUAGGAGAGGUAACGGCUCCCCUAGGCCACGAUCCCUAGCUGGUCUGAGAGGAUGAUCAGCCACACUGGGACUGAGACACGGCCCAGAAUCCUACGGGAGGCAGCAGUGGGGAAUAUUGCACAAUGGGCGCAAGCCUGAUGCAGCCAUGCCGCGUGUAUGAAGAAGGCCUUCGGGUUGUAAAGUACUUUCAGUCGGGAGGCGUUACCGACAGAAGAAGCACCGGCUAACUCCGUGCCAGCAGCCGCGGUAAUUC
rnacentral:rRNA from 1 species